GGCAGAGCAAACUGUGGCACUCAAAUCAACAAUAAUGUCUCUAUAGAGCAAUCCAAAACAUUUGGAGCGUUUUCCAAUGGACACCGAUGAUGCAUUACAAGAUUGGAAAAAUUACAUAAAUGAAGAAAAUAAAAGUGGAAUGAUUCAUGCGGUGAAAAGCAUCCUUGGUAAAUCUGGAAUUGAAAUUGGUUUUAAGUCCCAAUUUAAUAAUUAUUAAGAUCUUCACGGUAGCCAUACGAAAAAGAGACUUUAUAAUUUCUCUAAAAUUAUGGAUGUUUUUUACAUGCUACCGUAAAUCCUAAUGAUACUCAUACUUUUGAAGAUGACAUGAGAAAGGCCAUUAAAGAUAUCAAAAAUCGUCACUUUAAAAAUGCUAGCUUAAAAAGAAAAAAUGCCACAAGUACAGAGAUGUUGAACGCA